UGAUUGUGGGAAGAUUUCAUCGGCGUGGGAUGGGGUCGCGUCCUAUCAGCUUGUUGGUGAGGUAACGGCUCACCAAGGCUUCGACGGGUAGCCGGCCUGAGAGGGCGACCGGCCACAUUGGGACUGAGAUACGGCCCAGACUCCUACGGGAGGCAGCAGUGGGGAAUAUUGCACAAUGGGCGCAAGCCUGAUGCAGCGACGCCGCGUGAGGGAUGGAGGCCUUCGGGUUGUAAACCUCUUUUGUUUGGGAGCAAGCCUUCGGGUGAGUGUACCUUUCGAAUAAGCGCCGGCUAACUACGUGCCAGCAGCCGCGGUAAUACGUAGGGCGCAAGCGUUAUCCGGAUUUAUUGGGCGUAAAGGGCUCGUAGGCGGCUCGUCGCGUCCGGUGUGAAAGUCCAUCGCUUAACGGUGGAUCUGCGCCGGGUACGGGCGGGCUGGAGUGCGGUAGGGGAGACUGGAAUUCCCGGUGUAACGGUGG
rnacentral:rRNA from 1 species